UAGCUCAGUGGUAGAGUGCUUGCCUGGCAUGCAUGAGGCCCUGGGUUCGAUUCCUCAG
rnacentral:tRNA from 1 species